GGCGUGCCUAAUACAUGCAAGUAGAACGCUGAAGGAGGAGCUUGCUUCUCUGGAUGAGUUGCGAACGGGUGAGUAACGCGUAGGUAACCUGCCUGGUAGCGGGGGAUAACUAUUGGAAACGAUAGCUAAUACCGCAUAACAGUAGAUGUUGCAUGACAUUUGCUUUAAAAAAGGUGCAAUUGCAUCACUACCAGAUGGACCUGCGUUGUAUUAGCUAGUUGGUGGGGUAACGGCUCACCACGGCGACGAUACAUAGCCGACCUGAGAGGGUGAUCGGCCACACUGGGACUGAGACACGGCCCAGACUCCUACGGGAGGCAGCAGUAGGGAAUCUUCGGCAAUGGACGGAAGUCUGACCGAGCAACGCCGCGUGAGUGAAGAAGGUUUUCGGAUCGUAAUGCUUUGUUGUAAGAGAAGAACGAGUGUGAGAGUGGAAAGUUCACACUGUGACGGUAUCUUACCAGAAAGGGACGGCUAACUACGUG
rnacentral:rRNA from 1 species